AGAACCUUACCAAAUCUUGACAUCCUUAUGACCGGCAUUUAAUUUUGCCUUCUCUUCGGAGCAUAAGUGACAGGUGGUGCAUGGUUGUCGUCAGCUCGUGUCGUGAGAUGUUGGGUUAAGUCCCGCAACGAGCGCAACCCUUAUCUUUAGUAGCCAGCACGUUGAGGUGGGAACUCUAGAGAGACUGCCGGGGAUAACUCGGAGGAAGGUGGGGAUGACGUCAAAUCAUCAUGCCCCUUAUGAUUUGGGCUACACACGUGCUACAAUGGCGGAUACAAAGAGAAGCGACGGGGUGACCUGAAGCAAACCUCAUAAAUGUCCUCUCAGUUCGGAUUGUAGUCUGCAACUCGACUCCGUGAAGCUGGAAUCG
rnacentral:rRNA from 1 species